UUAUCCACAUUCGGUUCAGAUAUCAGCAGGUGAAUGCAUGGAGAAAAAUGUGCUAAUGUGCACAGAUGACUUUCGUCGCUGUAUGAAUGUAUGUAGGACAAACAAGGUUCGUACUGAGCAUGCUUUUGGCAAGUGACAAUCGACUGUCAUUCCCGCAUUUUGAGGGAAAUUUUUGUUGACCUCUGAUCUGGAAAAUAUGCUAAAUCUCAAUUCCAAUUUUGUUGACCAUUGCAAAGUGAAGUUUCAAAUCUAUUGAUAUAAAUGAAAUUAUUUUUGCGCAUUGGCAUGGUAAGACGUUCAGCUUUUGAAAAUCUGUGAAUUUGGUUUCAUUUGGUGUCUAAUUCGAGCCAUUGCAAAUACAAUGAAUAACUCUGUGUUGGCCGAUGUACAAGCACUCAAGGCUCAAAUGAGUAAAAUAGAGCAUAUCUUGGAUCAUAUUUCGCUGAAAAUGAACUCAGUUCAGCCUACAUCAACAGCUACGGCUGAUGUUCGAGCUCUGAAAGUGCAAAUGGACCGAAUGGAGAGUAUGGUGGAUAACAUGAAGGAGCCAACAAAACGGAAUUCAGAUAGUUCGUGACAUUACAAGUAAAUCGUUAUAAAAAUUCAACUUUCCGGCAAUCUCACCACUUGAUUGAUAUUAAUUUAAUCCCACUGCCAAUUGGAAUUCAAUUCAUAAAUAAUAUUUAACUAUAUACGAAAUAGUCGAUUCUGC